CUGCUCUACGCGGUUGACCAACUGGUGGCGUUGUUGGUCGCCUAAAGUGCCGGCCGCAAUGCUGGUGCUUUUGGUGUACUCGUGAUGCAUGUCCGGUGGGAUGACUUGGGCGGAUAGAGCAGUGUCUGCCUCCGAGUACGGCGCGGGUGUUUACUUCUUAGAGGGACAAGCGGGAGAAGCCGCACGAAAUUGAGCAAUAACAGGUCUGUGAUGCCCUUAGAUGUCCGGGGCCGCACGCGCGCUACAAUGACGGUGGCAACGAGUCUGACUUUCUGGCCCGAAAGGGUUGGGUAAACUGGUCAAUCACCGUCAUGACAGGGAUCGGGGCUUGGAAUUGUUCCCCGUGAACGAGGAAUUCCUAGUAAGUGCAAGUCAUAAGCUUGCGCUGAUUACGUCCCUGCCCUUUGUACACACCGCCCGUCGCUACUACCGAUUGAAUGGUUUAGUAAGGUCCUUGGAUUGGCGCCAUUGAAGCCGCAGGGCUCAGGCGGUGCUGAGAAGACGACCGAACUUGAUCAUUUAGAGGAAGUAAAAGUCGUAACAAG
rnacentral:rRNA from 1 species